UCCAAACAAGAAACGUGAUAAGUACCGCGAUAAUACGGCGUUCCAUCCUACAUGCUUACUGCCUCUGCCAGCAUCCUACUGUCUGAAAAAACACCAAGGACAUUUCACUAAAUGUCCAGAACUCCAGUUGACGGAGUUUGAAGGUUCUACCAAGGAUGUCAACUGUGGAGCACAUACAGGAUGCAGAGCACAGUGAUGACGUAUCACCAUGGCAACGCGUACUGCUCAACAUCACUUGAAUGAGAUUGUACCGUACCUGACAUCAUUAAUUGUAAAGAGCGCCACCUGUUGUUUGGUUAUCGAUCAACAUUAAUGCAGCAGAUAAUGUAGCGGUAGGCUAUAUAGGCCUGUACGUCAGAGUUACUUCUACAACGACGAUAGGUUCAACUACAACUAU